GGGCCCGUAGCUCAGCCAGGUAGAGCAGCAGGCUCUUAACCUGAAGAACGGUCGAGGGUUCAAAUCCCUCCGGGCCCGCCA
rnacentral:tRNA from 1 species